rnacentral:rRNA from 1 species
GUCCGCGCCCUAAACGAUGGAUACUAGUUGUUGGGAUACCUAAUAGUCUCGGUAACGUCGCUAACGCAUUAAGUAUCCCGCCUGGGGAAUACGAUCGCAAGAUUAAACUCAAAGGAAUUGACGGGGCCCGCACAAGCGGUGGAGCAUGUGGUUCAAUUCGAUGCUACGCGAAGAACCUUACCUGGACUUGACAUCCCGGGCUAUCCUGUGAAAGCAGGAGUUCCCUUCGGGGACCCGUGACAGGUGCUGCAUGGCUGUCGU